rnacentral:tRNA from 1 species
GUCUCAGUGGCGCAAUGGUAGCGCGUUGGACUUCUACCGCAAGAAACACAUUCGGUCAUCCAAAGGCUGCGGGUUCGAGCCCCGCCUGAGAUG